rnacentral:rRNA from 1 species
GGCAGUGGCAGGCUACACAUGCAGUCGAGCGGUAGCACAGAGAGCUUGCUCUCGGGUGACGAGCGGCGGACGGGUGAGUAAUGUCUGGGAAACUGCCUGAUGGAGGGGGAUAACUACUGGAAACGGUAGCUAAUACCGCAUAACGUCGCAAGACCAAAGUGGGGGACCUUCGGGCCUCAUGCCAUCAGAUGUGCCCAGAUGGGAUUAGCUAGUAGGUGGGGUAAUGGCUCACCUAGGCGACGAUCCCUAGCUGGUCUGAGAGGAUGACCAGCCACACUGGAACUGAGACACGGUCCAGACUCCUACGGGAGGCAGCAGUGGGGAAUAUUGCACAAUGGGCGCAAGCCUGAUGCAGCCAUGCCGCGUGUAUGAAGAAGGCCUUCGGGUUGUAAAGUACUUUCAGCGAGGAGGAAGGCGUUAAGGUUAAUAACCUUAGCGAUUGACGUUACUCGCAGAAGAAGCACCGGCUAACUCCGUGCCAGCAGCCGCGGUAAUACGGAGGGUGCAAGCGUUAAUCGGAAUUACUGGGCGUAAAGCGCACGCAGGCGGUCUGUCAAGUCGGAUGUGAAAUCCCCGGGCUCAACCUGGGAACUGCAUUCGAAACUGGCAGGCUAGAGUCUUGUAGAGGGGGGUAGAAUUCCAGGUGUAGCGGUGAAAUGCGUAGAGAUCUGGAGGAAUACCGGUGGCGAAGGCGGCCCCCUGGACAAAGACUGACGCUCAGGUGCGAAAGCGUGGGGAGCAAACAGGAUUAGAUACCCUGGUAGUCCACGCCGUAAACGAUGUCGACUUGGAGGUUGUGCCCUUGAGGCGUGGCUUCCGGAGCUAACGCGUUAAGUCGACCGCCUGGGGAGUACGGCCGCAAGGUUAAAACUCAAAUGAAUUGACGGGGGCCCGCACAAGCGGUGGAGCAUGUGGUUUAAUUCGAUGCAACGCGAAGAACCUUACCUACUCUUGACAUCCAGAGAACUUAGCAGAGAUGCUUUGGUGCCUUCGGGAACUCUGAGACAGGUGCUGCAUGGCUGUCGUCAGCUCGUGUUGUGAAAUGUUGGGUUAAGUCCCGCAACGAGCGCAACCCUUAUCCUUUGUUGCCAGCGGUCCGGCCGGGAACUCAAAGGAGACUGCCAGUGAUAAACUGGAGGAAGGUGGGGAUGACGUCAAGUCAUCAUGGCCCUUACGAGUAGGGCUACACACGUGCUACAAUGGCAUAUACAAAGAGAAGCGACCUCGCGAGAGCAAGCGGACCUCAUAAAGUAUGUCGUAGUCCGGAUUGGAGUCUGCAACUCGACUCCAUGAAGUCGGAAUCGCUAGUAAUCGUAGAUCAGAAUGCUACGGUGAAUACGUUCCCGGGCCUUGUACACACCGCCCGUCACACCAUGGGAGUGGGUUGCAAAAGAAGUAGGUAGCUUAACCUUCGGGAGGGCGCUACCACUUUUA